rnacentral:rRNA from 1 species
GAUGAACGCUGGCGGCGUGCCUAAUACAUGCAAGUCGAGCGAACAGACGAUGAGCUUGCUCCUCUGACGUUAGCGGCUGACGGGUGAGUAACACGUGGAUAACCUACCUAUAUGACGGGGAUAACUUCGGGAAACCGGAUCUAAUACUGGAUAAUAUAUCGAACCGCAGGGUUCAAUAGUGAAAGACGGCUUUGCUGUCUCUUUUAGAUGGAUCCGCGCCGCAUUAGCUAGUUGGUAAGGUAACGGCUUACCAAGGCGACGAUGCGUAGCCGACCUGAGAGGAUGAUCGGCCACACUGGAACUGAGACACGGUCCAGACUCCUACGGGAGGCAGCAGUAGGGAAUAUUGCGCAAUGGGCGAAAGCCUGACGCAGCCACGCCGCGUGAGUGAUGAAGGUCUUCGGAUCGUAAAGCUCUGUUGUUGGGAAAGAAAAGAUGUGUAUGUAAAUAUGCACGUCUUGACGGUACCUAAUCAGAAAGCCCCGGCUAACUACGUG